ACAGAAAGGUUGACGCAGAGCGGAUACAGUAGGCGGGCUGAUCAAAAGAGAAAUACCCAUCGAGUAAAAUUUCCAAGUAGAAUAUAUUGCUGCAAUACCCUUCAGAAAAAUUUCACGGCUUGCUGUGUUGAACCGACGUGUAUGUCACGUCAUAGCGGCGCCGAAAAGUGAACCUUACAGCUGCGAUAGCUUUCAAUAAGAUUGCAGACUGCUGUUGAUUGAGCCGACUUUAAAAAGUAUCACAUCUCCCAGAGGCAAAGGGCCAUGCCACAGCUGGAAAGCAUCCAUGCAGAACUUGAGAAAACACCUAUGGGAAUAUUUGUGAUUCGCAAGGAUGAGGACAUUCUCCACCCACGCACCAAGGGACAUUGGGAUAGUUAUAGGUGGCAUGCAAGUGUUGAACAGGUUAACCUCCAUCGCAUCUGCUUGUGUUGUACUAUUUGGUCUUAUGUAUACCCACAAUUUGGAAUAUCCAAAGGGAGUGGAGCGUACUUUUUGAAGUGAUGCAGAAGAUCGUCUUGGAACUUUGAUGCAAAGUGCAUGCGCCGAGCAUUAGGCUGCUGAACCCAUAAACUUGGAAGGUGUCCGGCCGUUUAGCUUUUUUCUUGUUUUCCUGUCUCUUCUGUAUUUGAAGAUAUUUGCCCAAUAUUUUGAUGUUAGUUAACUAAAAAUACUAAUUCUUCAUUUUAGAAUGUUUUGCACUGUGAUAUUCGCAACACAGCAAUACUUCUUAAUAUCCAGUGUGGUUGGGCGGUGGAAGAACAGACUGAAAACAAUCAGAAUGUUGCGACACCAACAUCCCUUUUCAUUGUUGGGAAAUGAACAGACAAAAUAUAAAUAAAAGCAACGAAAAUAGCGCCUAUAUGCUAUCCCGAACAGUCAUUUCUUUCAAAGCAAUGAUCCUUUCAAGAGUCAAGUGCUCUGUCGUACGGAUCGUUCUGGUCUCCUAGCAAAAGACAUGUUUCUCUUUGCCGGCGCUUCCUUUGUAGCGGUACUUCCGGAAGGGGCGGGGUUAAGUGUCCUUGCCGGGCGGCUUCUCGGAGCUGUAAGGGAAGAAGAACAGGACAAGACUUCUGUCCCCUCACACUGGACAUCGACACGGCACACAGAGUCCUCCAUCUGUCUGAAGGAAACAAGAAGGUGACAUGUGAUGGGACAAAAGCCAAAUAUCCUGAUCAUCCUGAGAGAUUUGACCUCUGGGAACAAGUUCUGUGCAGAGAGGCUCUGACUGGGACUCGCUUUUAUUAGGAGGUGGAGUGGAGUGGAGGUGGACGCUUCACAGAGAUUGGAGUCGCAUAUAAAGGACUGGGCAGGAAAGGAGAGGGCGUGGAGUGUGGCUUUGGAAACAGCAACAAAUAAUCCUGGAGUUUGCUGUGUUCUCAUCCCAAGUACUCUGUGUAUCACAAAAACAAGGAGUCUGUAAUCAGCAUCCCCAACAGCCCCAGAAUGGGUGUGUAUCUGGACUGGCCUGCUGGCACUCUGUCAUUUUAUAGCGUCUCACACACAAUGACCCUCCUGUACAGG